AAGCCAUGGUGUGGGCAUAAUUUGAUCAUGUUUUUAAAUUUAUCCCAUUCUUCAUAGAGAGAUUCAGUGUCAGUUAGUCUGAGGCUGGCAAUUAAAUUCUGUAUAU